UGGGGAAUAUUGCACAAUGGGCGCAAGCCUGAUGCAGCCAUGCCGCGUGUAUGCAGAAGGCCUUCGGGUUGUAAAGUACUUUCAGUCGGGAGGAAGGUGGUAAGGUUAAUAACCUUAUCAAUUGACGUUACCGACAGAAGAAGCACCGGCUAACUCCGUGCCAGCAGCCGCGGUAAUACGGAGGGUGCAAGCGUUAAUCGGAAUUACUGGGCGUAAAGCGCACGCAGGCGGUUGAUUGAGUCAGAUGUGAAAUCCCCGGGCUUAACCCGGGAAUUGCAUCUGAUACUGGUCAGCUAGAGUCUUGUAGAGGGGGGUAGAAUUCCAUGUGUAGCGGUGAAAUGCGUAGAGAUGUGGAGGAAUACCGGUGGCGAAGGCGGCCCCCUGGACAAAGACUGACGCUCAGGUGCGAAAGCGUGGGGAGCAAACAGG
rnacentral:rRNA from 1 species